rnacentral:sRNA from 1 species
AUGCUGCGGGGACUCACGCUGGCCCCACCACCUCCCUGGGCCUUCCUCAGCCACUAGAGCCCUGAGCACAGCACCUAGGAGGAUGGUGGGCACCGGGCUUGUGGCUGACGGCUCCCUUCUCCUUUCCUCCCUCCUUCUGUCCCUGCUCAGAGAGGGAGACUGGUGGCUGGCCCACUCGCUCAGCACAGGACAGACAGGCUACAUCCCCAGCAACUACGUGGCGCCCUCCGACUCCAUCCAGGCCGAGGAGUGGUAUUUUGGCAAGAUCACCAGACGGGAGUCAGAGCGGUUACUGCUCAAUGCAGAGAACCCGAGAGGGACCUUCCUCGUGCGAGAAAGUGAGACCACGAAAGGUGCCUACUGCCUCUCAGUGUCUGACUUCGACAACGCCAAGGGCCUCAACGUGAAGCACUACAAGAUCCGCAAGCUGGACAGCGGUGGCUUCUACAUCACCUCCCGCACCCAGUUCAACAGCCUGCAGCAGCUGGUGGCCUACUACUCCAAACAUGCCGAUGGCCUGUGCCACCGCCUCACCACGGUGUGCCCCACGU